rnacentral:misc_RNA from 1 species
GAUGAAGAACGCAGCGAAAUGCGAUACUUGGUGUGAAUUGCAGAAUCCCGUGAACCAUCGAGUCUUUGAACGCAAGUUGCGCCCGAAGCCUCGGCUAAGGGCACGUCUGCCUGGGCGUCACGCAUCGCGUCUCCCCCAAACCGCCAAGGCGGAGGGGAAGGAAGAUGGCUUCCUGUGCCUCACCCGGCGCGGUUGGCCUAAAUUUGGAGCCCGCGGCACUUAGCUCUCGCGGCGAUAGGUGGUGAACAAGGCCUUGGCCGUGCAAACAACCCGCUGCGAAGCUCUAUGUCACGUGCGCUCGUCGAACACUUUGAAGUUGCCUUUGGUGACUUAAAACCUUUGCGACCCCAGGUCAGGCGGGGCUACCCGCUGAAUUUAAGCAUAUCAAUAAGCGGAGGA